rnacentral:rRNA from 1 species
UACGUAGGGUGCAAGCGUUGUCCGGAAUUAUUGGGCGUAAAGAGCUCGUAGGCGGUCUGUCGCGUCGGUCGUGAAAACUUGGGACUUAACCCUGAGCUUGCGGUCGAUACGGGCAUGACUGGAGUUCGGCAGGGGAGACUGGAAUUCCUGGUGUAGCGGUGAAAUGCGCAGAUAUCAGGAGGAACACCGGUGGCGAAGGCGGGUCUCUGGGCCGAUACUGACGCUGAGGAGCGAAAGCGUGGGGAGCGAACAGG